GACGAACGCUGGCGGCGUGCCUAAUACAUGCAAGUCGAACGCAGUGGGGACGGGUGAGUAACACGUGGGUCACCUCCCAUAAGAGGGGAUAACACUUGGAAACAGGUGCUAAACCGAUAUUGAUUGAUGGCCCCGCGGUGCAUUAGCUAGUUGGUGGGGUAACGGCUCACCAAGGCCACGAUGCAUAGCCGACCGGAGAGGGUGAGCGGCCACACGGGGACUGAGACACGGCCCAGACUCCUACGGGAGGCAGCAGUAGGGAAUCUUCGGCAAUGGACGAAAGGCUGACCGAGCAACGCCGCGUGAGUGAAGAAGGUUUUCGGAUCGUAAAACUCUGUGGUUAGAGAAGCGGUAUCUAACCAGAAAGCCACGGCUAACUACGUGCCAGCAGCCGCGGUAAUUC
rnacentral:rRNA from 1 species